GAUAAAAUUCCCCAUAAUGUUAACAACCUAUUUAUUGAUUUGGCUGAGGGUAUUGCAGGUAGUCUUAAUGUAACUAAUUGCUAUGUGUGUGUGGAGGUACUAAUAUGGGAGACCAGUGGCCAUGGGAGGCAAAGGAAAUAUGGUACCCUGGCUCUGAGACAUAUGAACAACAGAUACCUUUCCAGUCUGAUCAUCAAGUAAGUACUAGAAGUAAAUUGGAAUGGUGGUUAAAAACCUCCAUUAUAGGUCAUGUUUGUAUAGCCAAGAAAGGGACAAUGUAUAACACGUCUGUAG
rnacentral:lncRNA from 1 species